ensembl:lncRNA
AGGGAGGGCCUGUGUACUCCGGUGGAUCAAAGCAAGUUCAAUAUAACGCGGUUUCACCUAUAAUGCGUAAGAUUUUUUUUGGCUCCCGAGGUCAGCGUUAUAUCGGGGUAGAGGUGUAGUUCAUAUUGCUUUUUUGUUUUUUAGUGGGUGAGUGGGCAGUGUACAAAGGACUUCCUGAGGAAGAGCCAAGUCAAAGAGAUUGGGCUGUACCCCUGUACCCAAAAUGGCUGUACCCCUGAUUUGCCGAGGCUUGGAACAACAAUCAAAUGAUCGAUCCAUUUCACUACACAUCCAUAGCCUCUUUCAGGCCACAUAUCCCUGAAGUCUCUGUAUAUAAUGCUAUGGUUGCAGCUGAAUUUUGUGAUGACAGAAAACUGAAAUGCUCAGCUCGGUUUAUCCCCCUUUCCGAAAAACAAAAAAACCUUCACAGCAGACUCUUCCUCCUUCAACACUUAUGGUCAGUGACAUUCCCCUUGUUGAGAUCUGCUCAACUCCCAAUGUGCCUUUUACGAAGUGGAAUUUACUUUAUGUACUAAAAAAGGCAUAUGGCCAAAACUCCUUGUGUUGAAUUUUUUACGGUGUGAAUACUGAGUGGAGGAAUGGCAUUGCAACUGCUUUCCAGGGCGAGUUUAUCUUUAGCGUUUUGUUUUAUCCUGAGGCACUGACCUUUCUAUUAUCAGUUUCUCUGAAGGCAAGCAGUACAACAAUGUCUUGUCUGUAUCAGCUUGUUUAUGUUUUAUAUGUGGCUCAAAGUUCUGCCAGAACUUCGUGUCAUUUUCCUGGCUAUGUCUACGUUCUGCCUGCGAUAUGCUAAUUAUUGGGAUGUGACAGAGCACUUAUUCCUUAUCAUAAAUCAGAGUCUGUUAUCCAAGAAUUAAACUUGUUUUCAGUCCUCAAAGGAUGUAACCAUAUGAAAUAGUCUCUAAGGGACAGAUCCUGAUCCUAUUGGAGUCAGUGGACAUUUUACUAUUGUCUUUAUGAUGGGAUCAAUGUUGAACCCAAUAUAAUGAAACAGAAUGGAAUUACAGUGUCUGUUUUAGAAAUUAUUAUUAUUUUUCAAGGAAACAUUUCCCUGGAGUACUGUGAGCACUAGAAAGUGAAACUGCAAUGGCGAUUUACAGCAGCUGAACAUCUACUUUUAAGAUAUUAUAAGUAAGGACAUUAACAAAUUAGAAAGCCACAUCCUCAGUAGGGGUAAAUCAGUGUAGCUCCACUAAUUUCAGUGACGGUAUGAAGGUUUAUAUUAACUGGCCCAGAGUUUUAAAUUGACAUUGUCUCACUUUGAAAAUCCAGACUGCACUAUUAACCCACUCACAGUAGGGAGGAUUUGAGAGGAAGGAAAGAAAAGGAAACAUAUUGUAGAAUAUGGAGAUGUCCUUUAUUACCUCACUAAGAUGCUAGCAGCACAUAGUUAGCUCACAUGACUUAAUUUACCAGGAAAAUAUUUCGUCUGCAGGAGAAAGGAUAAUGCAGUGUUUCUGCUUAACCAUCAUGAACCUUCACUAGAAUAUCAGGAGUACAGUUUUACAGUAAAAUCAACCUAAAGAAAAGUAAAACUGACUGCAGCCUUCAUCCCAGCCAACAAUUCUUAAACACAGCUGUUGAGAUGAUUGACUAUUGCAUUUGCUUAUACUUAUUAUCAUAGCCUUCAGUCAUUGUCAUAUCAGUGUUUUGUAUUUUUAUGGGCUGAUGGCCAUUUCCUCCUUUUCCACCAUGGGAGAGACUAUAAAACUAAAGGACAAGCAAAAGAGUUACUGUAGUUAGUCCAACAGUAAUAGAUUGAAAAACCUGCACUGCUCAGAAUACGUGAAGUAUAUUAUUGUGGACACUCCAGCUCUUAUAACAAAAUGGCUACAAGAACAAAACACAGCAACAUAACACGUUCACUUGAUAAUUAUAAAAGGGCCAGAAAGCAAUGCAAACUGAAUUCGUCUUCAUUAAAACCAGGAAUCUCCAUGUACAAUCCCAAAUCCCGCUCCCUUUUCUGCUGUUCCCCGCCCCCCGGCAAAAAAGUUUUGAAUGUCUUAUUUUAUAUUUAGUGUGGAGUUCUUUCCUUGAGCAUUGUAAAUGAAACCUCUAAAGGUUUGUGAGAAACUUUUGUGGUUCUGCUCUCCUAUAAAUCCCAUAAUUUAUUAGCUUCUUGCACCUGUCAUGCUCCACAUUUCUUGCACAGUCGGAAUACAGCCCCUUCGAUCAGUCAUCCUCCCUCUAUAACUGGAAAGAGAGAAAGUUACAUGUGUCAAUUAAGCCGUCACUGCAUCUUUGAUCUUUUUUAGUUACUCUUUAUUUAAAUAAUCAUUUCCAAUUGCUUUACCUGAUGUGGCAUAGCUUGAAAAUGUAGCAACAUGCUUUAAUUUUUAAUAAACACUGAGCCUGCUUCUCCUCUUGCA